CUGCGCUAGUAUUGGAAAGUCAAUUCGUGUGUGUACGUCUUAAUAUGUUUUGUCCGUACUUCGGUUUAAAAUAUGGCGUUCUGCACAAUUUCUGCAGUUCAUGUGGAAAAAAUCUCGAAGUUUAAAAAAAGACACGACAGAAACCGAUUACACCCCUAUCAAUGGACAUUACAGAUAAUGCUGUCAGAUUCAGACGACAACCGUCCAGGUACUUCAGACCAUGUUGUGACAGAGAAUCGGUGUUACAGGAGCUGAGUGUUUCCUGAGGCUGGAGUGGAGUUCUUUGCUGCACCUUUAGGUUUUACUUAAUAAAGGGUUGUCAUUAUUGCUGUUCAUUUGCAGUGAAUUUUGCGGGUAUGAUUCCAAUUAGUGGGGUGCGUUUCCCUUUUGUAUAGCUGGUGCUGUCGUACUAGCCUGCCCUUCAUACAGGAAGCCUCAGCCCUCCUAUGAUUAUUGUUAACUUGUGACUGUUUUAUUUGACCAAUGCCUGACUGUGUUGGAUGUUUCUUUUAAAAUAAUUCUUGACCAGUCUUUAACUUUAAAGUAAAAUGUAUUUUUA